rnacentral:rRNA from 1 species
GAUGAACGCUAGCGGCAGGCUUAACACAUGCAAGUCGAGGGGCAGCAAGGGUAGCAAUACCUGUUGGCGACCGGCAAACGGGUGAGGAACACGUACACAAUCUACCUUUAUCUGGGGGAUAGCACGAAGAAAUUCGGAUUAAUACCCCAUAAUAUAUUUGGAUGGCAUCAUUUGAAUAUUAAAACUCCGGCGGAUAGAGAUGAGUGUGCGUCCCAUUAGCUAGUUGGUAGGGUAACGGCCUACCAAGGCGACGAUGGGUAGCUGGUGUGAGAGCACGACAAGCCACACGGGCACUGAGACACGGGCCCGACUCCUACGGGAGGCAGCAGUGAGGAAUAUUGGUCAAUGGACGCAAGUCUGAACCAGCCAUGCCGCGUGAAGGAUGAAGGCCUUCUGGGUUGUAAACUUCUUUUAUUGGGGAAGAAAAUUACGGUUUCUACUGUAACCGACGGUACCCAAGGAAUCAGCACCGUCUAACUCCGUGCCAGCAGCCGCAGUAAGAC